CCCAGUUUUCUGCGGCGGCGGCGGCUCCUCCGUCUCCUCAUCUCCUUUCUUGGUGCGGCGCUGCUCCUCCCAUGGCCCCAUCCGCAAGGCGGCGACAAGAACGAGAAGCUGGGCGGCGCCACAAGCUCUCGUCCCGAGGAAGCAACAGGAGGACGGGGUCGAUGCGGUCGUCCGCGCCUCCUCCACUGUGGUCCAUGAGCGAGAGGAAGGAGGCGUCGUCAGCUGCGUGCCCGAGCUAGCCACGGACAGGUCCAUCUCUCUCUCUCUCUCUCUCUCUCUCUCUCUCUCAUCUUGUUCGGUGAUUGUCUCAUCAUAUAUCCAAUACCAUUAUUUAUUUCUGUUUGAGUUGUGGUGAUCCAGCUGUGUCAGAUUAGUACUUACAAAUUGUGUGGCCAGCACUAUUCAUUUUUUUCAUGAUUUAGUUGUUGUUGUGAACAUUCUUUGUCUCGUACAGAUGUUCCCAGCUGUUGAGGUUGUUGAAUUACUUGAUUGAAUCAUUUGGAAAAAGACCCCCUGUGAGCUUGCGUACAAAUACACUAAAAUUAAAACCACAUUAACUCAAUUUCUUGAUGUAUGUACAUGGCACCGAUGAUUUUAUAGUUAUCUCUGCUGUAAAUUCAUCACUGCCUUAUUAAGCAUUCUCUCUCUUUAUCUUGUUUGUGGGGUUUGCACACCCGUAGAAGGGAUCUUGUUGCUGCUCUUAUUCCAAGGGGUGUUAGUCUGGAUCCAAUAGGAAAAUGGUCAAAGGUAUGAUUAGUUGUGUACGACUCAACUAUUUUGUUUGGUGCACUGUUGAAUAUAUGGCAGGACAUUACAUGAAACAAGGUGAAAGUUCAUUUUUUACCAUUGAAGGCUCUUGCUCCUCAGGAGAAGGAGCGAACAGUUGAUAUGGCCCUUCAUAUGCUAUGCGAGCGAUGAUUACAACGAAGGCAUGACUGCGGGCGACGAAGGAGGGCACGGCCGGGUGUGGUAGCCGUCGGAGGAGACGAAGGGAGAGACGAGGAGAGGAGAGCGGCAUGCUGAGACCGUGGGCCGCAAAGGAAUCCUGCGCGGCGGCUGGGCGCGAUCUGGAGAAGCGCAAUAUUUCGCCAAUAGGUUUAGAGACGAGGAUCCGGAGAAAUAUUAUGCUCAGUCGUCCUAUUGUAUCAACCGUAAAGAUAUUGAAAUUAGGCUCGAGUGGACGUCGUCGAUAUGGCAAUGAGAAAAUCCUCCGGUUUGUCUUCCUGCUCAGUCCUCACAAUCCCUCACACUUGACUUUUCUGGGCCUCGGGGCAUAUUUUGUUAUUAUCUUAAAAGAACUCCUUUUGCUAUUAGUAAUAGUCUAAAGAUAUUUUUCCUUUCUAGGUUGGGACUUAGCAAAAUAUACAAGAUCCGAAAUUAUUGCUUUAUUGAAAGUUUGGUGUCCUACAGAGGAAGAAAUGGAGUAUUCCCUAACAAUAAGUAGUAAAUUUGGGGCUAAGAUAGAUGAAUGUGUAGUACCAUCAUCAUCUGAAGCUCUAUACAACACCUUCUUCACAAUGGUAAAGUAAGCUUAUUCAUACAUAAUACUAGAAUAGGAACAGAACAUAGGUCUAGAUUAUCUUUCUUUGCAUAAAGCCAUAAAGGAAAAAAAAAUUGAAAUCCUUAUAAAUAGCGACAAAAUGACAUCUAAAUAUGUACAUAGAAAGCAUUUGUACAAUAAAUUGGUAACUACUCCCUCCAUCUGAUGAAGAGUGUACAUUUGACUUUAAAAUUUAUCCACAAAAGAGUGUACUUUUAUCUUCCCAAUGCACUUUAAAGUGGAAAAAAAAUACUUCUCUCUCAUCACAUGGUAAUCAAGAUCAAUAACAUUCUACACAUGGUCUUCUUAAUUUCUACAUGCAAUUAGCUCAUUGAGGGUUGGGUAAUUCAAGAGGAGAGAUGAUGGCUUGCACCUUUCCAAUGCAUUUUUUACUUCACUCCAUAAUUUGUCCUAGAUGUACACUCUUCACCGGACGGAGGGAGUACAAGUUAGCAAGAAGAGGAAGCUGCUAUCCUGUUUCUUCUGCCACUAUUUCUGUGGAAAUGAUGUUGAACUACUACUGAUUUAAUGCAGCUUACAGAUGAUGCAACCUUUUCUCUCCAUCUCUGAUUCUCUGCUAGAAAUUGCUAUCUCUCUCAUUCCCCUCUUAACAAUGUGCUUUUUUGUUCAGUUUCAUGCCUCAAGCUGACGUUCUGAAUUGUGCCUGUACAAAAAAAAUGUACUCACCUUUUUCUACUGCUCAUUGAGAUUUGGGAGCAUCCAUUUGCUUUAGCUGGUGUAAAUAUACAUUCAUGCUCAUUGAGAUGCUUGAUCUAGGAGUUGUUCAUGCUAUUUUUUCAGAUGAUAUUGUUG